rnacentral:ncRNA from 16 species
UAUUGAAUGGGAAGCUAUGAACUCUUCUUUGUACGUGGUCACUUGAAGGAGAGGGAGCUAGUAGUGAAACCGCCCCGACCGGGG